rnacentral:tRNA from 1 species
GUGACUAUAACUCAGAUGGUAGAGUUCUGGAUUGUGAUUCCAGAUGUCAUGGGUUCGAUCCCCAUUAGUCACCCA